UGCCACUGCACUCCAGCCUGGCAACAGAGUGAGACUCCAUCUCAAAAAAAAAAAAAAAGCCGGGCGUGGUGGCACAUGUCCUGUUAUCCCAGCUACUUGGGAGGCUGAGGCAGGAGAAUCACUUGAAUCCUGGAGGGCGGAGGUUGCAGUGAGCCGAGAUCAAGCCACUGCACUCCAGCCUGGGUGACAGACUGAGAUCCUGUGUGAAAAAAACAAAGUUUUACAUUUAAUUUGAUACUCAUGAUCAUUCGAUGGGGUGAGUACUAUUAUUUAUUCCCGUUUCACAGAUAAGGAAACUGAGGCUUAGGCAGGUUGGGUGGCAUGCCCAGGGCCCCGUACAGUGGGAGCUGGAGUUCAGUUGUGUGGUUCUAGAGCUUGUGCUCGGCCUAGUGACAGGAGCUCUGGAGUCUGGGAGCACAAAGAGGGGCACAGGGCCACCAAGUGGGUCUUGGAUCUGCCCUCCAGGUGUGGGCCCAUCGCUGGAUGGAUCUGUCAGAACACGGCUUUGGGCUGGCCCUGCUCAACGACUGCAAGUAUGGCGCGUCAGUGCGAGGCAGCAUCCUCAGCCUCUCGCUCUUGCGGGCGCCUAAAGCCCCGGACGCUACUGCUGACACGGGGCGCCACGAGUUCACCUAUGCACUGAUGCCGCACAAGGGCUCUUUCCAGGAUGCUGGCGUUAUCCAAGCUGCCUACAGCCUAAACUUCCCCCUGUUGGCUCUGCCAGCCCCCAGCCCAGCGCCCGCCACCUCCUGGAGUGCGUUUUCCGUGUCUUCACCCGCGGUCGUAUUGGAGACCGUCAAGCAGGCAAGGGCAGCCCCCAGCGCCGCUCGCUGGUCCUGAGGCUGUAUGAGGCCCACGGCAGCCACGUGGACUGCUGGCUGCACUUGUCGCUGCCGGUUCAGGAGGCCAUCCUCUGCGAUCUCUUGGAGCGACCAGACCCUGCUGGCCACUUGACCCUUCGGGACAACCGCCUGAAGCUCACCUUUUCUCCCUUCCAAGUGCUGUCCCUGUUGCUCGUGCUUCAGCCUCCGCCACACUGAGUCCCUGGGGCUGGGGUUUUGUUUGUAGAAGGCUCUGGGGACUCCUAAUUUCUGCUUCCCCAGCCUAAAGCAGGGAUCAGUCUUUUCUUGUGGAAUAAAUCCUUGGAUCGGG
rnacentral:lncRNA from 1 species